rnacentral:rRNA from 1 species
AGUUAAAAAGCUCGUAGUUGGAUUUCUGCGGGGGCGGGGCGGCCGGUUGCUUAUAGCAACUCGAGCUAGCACUUCCCCUGCAUCCUGCCGCGAACCGUGCUACCAUUAGUUUGGUGGCGCCGGGGAUCGGCUCGUUUACUUUGAGAAAAAUAGAGUGUUCAAAGCAGGCCACACGCCUUGAAUAAGUUAGCAUGGAAUAAUGAUAAAGGACUUCGGUUCUAUUUUGUUGGCGUUCGGGACUGAAGUAAUGAUUGAUAGGGACAGUUGGGGCGGUCCGUAUUCCAAAGCGAGAGGUGAAAUUCUUAGACCUUCGGAAGACGAACAGCUGCGAAAGCGUUCCGCAAGGAUGUUCCCUUUGAUCAAGAACGAAAGUUGGGGGAUCGAAGACGAUCAGAUACCGUCGUAGUCUCAACUAUAAACUAUACCAGCUAGGGAUCGGCCAACGUUUAAUUUACACCGACUUGGUCGGCACCUUAUGAGAAAUCAAAGCAUCUGGGGUUCCG